rnacentral:rRNA from 1 species
AAUGCGUAGAGAUCUGGAGGAAUACCGAUGGCGAAGGCAGCCAUCUGGCCUAACACUGACGCUGAGGUACGAAAGCAUGGGGAGCAAACAGGAUUAGAUACCCUGGUAGUCCAUGCCGUAAACGAUGUCUACUAGCCGUUGGUCUCUUUGAGGGAUUAGUGGCGCAGCUAACGCGAUAAGUAGACCGCCUGGGGAGUACGGUCGCAAGACUAAAACUCAAAUGAAUUGACGGGGGCCCGCACAAGCGGUGGAGCAUGUGGUUUAAUUCGAUGCAACGCGAAGAACCUUACCUGGUCUUGACAUAGUAAGAACUUUCCAGAGAUGGUUUGGUGCCUUCGGGAACUUACAUACAGGUGCUGCAUGGCUGCCGUCAGCUCGUGUCGUGAGAUGUUGGGUUAAGUCCCGCAACGAGCGCAACCCUUUUCCUUAUUUGCCAGCACUUUGGGUGGGAACUUUAAGGAUACUGCCAGUGACAAACUGGAGGAAGGCGGGGACGACGUCAAGUCAUCAUGGCCCUUACGACCAGGGCUACACACGUGCUACAAUGGUCGGUACAAAGGGUUGCUACCUAGCGAUAGGAUGCUAAUCUCAAAAAGCCGAUCGUAGUCCGGAUUGGAGUCUGCAACUCGACUCCAUGAAGUCGGAAUCGCUAGUAAUCGCGGAUCAGAAUGCCGCGGUGAAUACGUUCCCGGGCCUUGUACACACCGCCCGUCACACCAUGGGAGUUUGUUGCACCAGAAGUGGAUAGUCUAACUGCAAAGAGGACGUUCACCACGGUGUGGCCGAUGACUGGGGUGAAGUCGUA